AUGCAAUAUAUGUAUGUAUAGGAGCUCUCAUGAAGCGCACGACCUCAAGAUGACGUCACUCUUGCACAAAGUAAUGUGAACUGUAGGAUACCUCCUGCAUAUCGCAGACAUAUAGAAUAUCGACUGCCAAUCGUAAAACAGAAGAAUAAAGAUGUGCUUCAUGAAUGUUAACGUGUUCAUCAGUACUUACAUGUCGGUUGCUGAUUUCGUCAAUAAUUCUGACGCUGAUCCCUGUAUGCUGGCUUAAUAAGGAAUUAUGGGUGUCGAUAAUAUUGAGAAGUGUGUUGCUAUGGGAGGACAGAAACAGAUGGCUUGUUUUUGGCUAGCUUACUGAUGAUCGUGUGUCAGGAGAUGAGCUUCUUAAAGGAGAACCAGGCAAGGCCUCAGGAAAAUGUGUGUGUGAAGACUCAAAGGAAUUAAAAUUAAGCAAAUUGUGUCUCGUUCUUUGCACCUGGAGAAUGUAUUAGUGUCACAACCAUAAACUUACUCAGGUGAAUUUAUACUACCCUGCUUGAAAGACAGCUCUUACUCUGAGAAAGCCCUCUGUGGAACUCCAGCCAGAUAACAACAGUGGACAUUACAAAAGUCAUAAUUAGAACUUUACGUACAGAGCAAGAACAAUAAAUGUAUUGUUCCUAGUAAGUUGAACUGUGUGCUGGACCAGGACUCGAAAUUGGAACCUUGCAGAUGAACAUACGUGGAGUACGAGAAGGAGGAGGAAGACGUACUAGUGGAAGUAAUGGGGGGCAGGUCACGAAUCAUGCCUGGGAUCGCUUGGUCGGUAAUAGCAGUCCUCACGAGAGGGUAGGUUCUGUUUCAAGAGCCCCAGAAGUUUUAAAGCAGAACACACUCUGCUGUGGAGUGAAAUGCGUAACUUUAGAGUACAGAAGCAUAUAAGAGUAAUGUAUAGUGUAAAUCCAAGAACAUCAUGUUGGAACCUAUUUAAAGAAUUGGGCAUACUAACCACAGCUUCUCAGUAUAUUUAUUCCUUAAUGAAGUUCGUUGUAAGUAAUACAUAUAUUUUUCCAACUAACUUCUUAGUACACAGUAUCAAUACUAGUAAUAAGAACAAUAUACAUAAAGAUUUAAAAUCACUUACUCUUGGCCGGAAAAGAGUCCGGUAUUCAGCAAUGCAUAUUUUCAAUAAGUUACCAGCAACCAUUAAUAGUUUAGUUUCAGACAAGGCACAAUUUAAACAUAAUUUAAAGGAAUUUUUGGUGGGCAACUCCUAUUCCAUCUAUGACUUUCUCAACAAGUGCAGUAGACCAUUGUAAUAAAAAUUUAUUGCUUUAAUUUUUGAUGAUACUUGGCUGUAACAGGUGUGAAAGGUGAAUGUAUGGAAAGCAGAUGCAAGUAUUUAACCUGUAAAUAUUAGAAGUUUAAUUUUAAUUCAUGUACAUAAUUUUAUUGUUUAUUGAAUGAGGAUCAUUAAAAUUAAUGAAACUCAAUUUUUCUAAUUA